AACGAACGCUGGCGGCGCGUCUUAAGCAUGCAAGUCGAACGGCAAGAUUGGUGCUUGCACCGAUCCUAGAGUGGCGGACUGGUGAGUAACGCGUGGGUGACGUACCCUAAGGAUGGGGAUAGCUGGUAGAAAUAUCAGGUAAUACCGAAUAUCCUUAUUGUUGUUAGAGGACAGUAAGGAAAGGAGCUUUGGCUUCGCCUAAGGAUCGGCCCGCGUACUAUUAGCUAGUUGGUGAGGUAACGGCUCACCAAGGCGACGAUAGUUAUCCGGACUGAGAGGUCGAACGGCCACAUUGGGACUGAGACACGGCCCAGACUCCUACGGGAGGCAGCAGUGGGGGAUAUUGCACAAUGGAGGAAACUCUGAUGCAGCAACGCCGCGUGAGGGAAGAAGGAUUUCGGUUUGUAAACCUCUGUCAUUGGUGACGAUAAUGACGGUAGCCGAUGAGGAAGCUCCGGCUAACUACGUG
rnacentral:rRNA from 1 species